CUUUCUUUGCUGACGAGUGGCGGACGGGUGAGUAAUGCUUGGGGAUCUGGCUUAUGGAGGGGGAUAACGACGGGAAACUGUCGCUAAUACCGCGUAAUGUCUAAGGACUAGAGGGUGGGACUUUCGGGCCACCUGCCAUAAGAUGAGCCCAAGUGGGAUUAGGUAGUUGGUGGGGUAAAGGCCUACCAAGCCGACGAUCUCUAGCUGGUCUGAGAGGAUGACCAGCCACACUGGAACUGAGACACGGUCCAGACUCCUACGGGAGGCAGCAGUGGGGAAUAUUGCACAAUGGGGGGAACCCUGAUGCAGCCAUGCCGCGUGGAUGAAGAAGGCCUUCGGGUUGUAAAGUUCUUUCGGUGAUGAGGAAGGGUGAUGUUUUAAUAGAGCAUUACAUUGACGUUAGUCACAGAAGAAGCACCGGCUAACUCCAUGCCAGCAGCCGCGGUAAUACGGAGGGUGCGAGCGUUAAUCGGAAUGACUGGGCGUAAAGGGCACGCAGGCGGUGACUUAAGUGAGAUGUGAAAGCCCCGAGCUUAACUUGGGAAUUGCAUUUCAUACUGGGUGGCUAGAGUAUUUUAGGGAGGGGUAGAAUUCCACGUGUAGCGGUGAAAUGCGUAGAGAUGUGGAGGAAUACCGAAGGCGAAGGCAGCCCCUU
rnacentral:rRNA from 1 species